GGCUCAACAGCUGUCCCCUUCCAUGCAGGAGACACAGCUCCACCCCACCUCGAUUCUCCUGGGUCCCAGAGUCUUGCCUGGGAAGGCCUGGCCGCCAGGACUGGACGUGCAGCUGGGAACAGGGCGGAGAGAGUUGGGACCCCGGGCAUCACAGGCCCGCACAGCCCGCUUGUUCUGGUGCCCAGCCUCAUUUUACAGAGGAGCAAACUGAGGCCCCGAGAGGUGGAGGGACUCACCCAAAGUCACACAGCCAGUGAGCGAGUGGCUGGGAGCUCUGUGUCUCCUGUACCCCGGUUGUGGAUCUGCCUUGUUUGACAGCCGUGGGGGCUGACACUACCCUCAAUGUCGUGUCCGGCCCAUGGCCUCCUCGGGGCCCGGCACAGGUUGUGGCACAUAGAAGGUGCUCAAUAAAUGCCUACAGCGUGAUGGAGGGCUCUGUCCCCCUCGGCUCACCUCUUGGCAGAGUCGUCAGGGUAGGGAAGAGCGGGGGUGAGGGAGUAAAAUGGGGGCUGCCUUUGCCUUUGAGGGCUGGAGGCUGUGAGAGGCUAGAACCCAAAUUUUUCUGGGGGCCUCAGGAAUCCCCUCUCUGCACCCUAAGGUGGCUCGGCCUUUUCCCCGGAGACACGUGUGCCACUUGAUGACCCUGGAGCUGGGCCGGGCCCAAAUGUUGGCUGCACAAGCCAUUUCUGGGGGGGCACAGAGAACCCGGGAGUGAUCGGUAUUGGCUGCCGCUGGGCUAGGUGGCCAGGCCCGUGGAGGGCCUCGACCAUCUCUGCUCCUUCUCUCGUUCUGGUUGCCUUGCCCCAGUUUAGGCUUCUUCCUGCCACUGCUGAGUACAGGCUUAGCAAUUUGCCACCUGCUGCUCCAGCCACCCAGGACUCUAGCCACAGCCCCGCCAUCGAUCAGGUUACCCCAGCAGCCCGGGCUGCCCCGGCUGCCGCUGCCAGCCAGCUCGUGCCCCCAUCUUCUCCAACGGGGGCUGCGGGUCCCACAGGCCCCUCCCAGGAGGCCCUCCCCGCCGGCCCGUGCCGAAGCCUGCGAGGCUGGAGGGCCCUGGCCCUGCCAGGGAGAUCAGAUCCUCUCGGCCACCUGCUGUUUUCAUUAGAAACUAAAAUUAGCUGGGCUUGUCCCAAGCUUUUCCAGGUUUGCUUGCUUUUUAAAAAAAAUAUACAAAUUCCUAGAGAAAAAUCCGCACCUCUGCGCCUCCUCUCAGCUCUUACCCUGCGCGUCAAGAGGAGAGGAGACGGGAAAUAGCUGGAGCGUUUGGGAGGCCAAGCAGAUCAGUGUCGUGGGUCCUGGCCCCGCGGGUAUCCAGGUGGGGGCUGGGACGCCAGCCCAGGCCUCUCUGCCCCCUCCCUCUGGCCUCCCUGCCUGCCUGGGCCACAUUUAGAGCCUCCUCAGGAGUGGCAGUGCCUGGGACACCAGGGAGGAAGGAGGCCAAGCGGGCGGGAGGAGGAGCCGGAAGGAACCGGAGUGCCUGCCGAACAGUGAGCCGCCUGGGGAGACACGGCCGCGUGAAGGCAAGCAUGCCACGGGUCCCACCCAGGACCACGUUCUCUCCGGGGGUGGCCAGCACCUGGCUCCCCGGGUCCCCAUCAUGCCCCUCAGCUGUUCUCGGGCCUCCGGAUGUUUCUGCACCCACGGUCUCUGAAUCCCGAGGCCCUGUCCUGGAGACCUAUCAUUUCGCACGGCCCACAGGGUGGCACACUGUGCGAGAGAGAUGGCAGACUGGGUCAGAAUCCCAGCUCUGUGUUCCCGGAGGCAGGUUAGCGAGCAUCUCUGAACCUCAGUGUCUUCAUCUGCUGUAGAAUGGGGAGAAUAAUAGUUCUCACCUCAAGAGACAUCAACGGAUUAAAUGUUCACAUAGUAGCCACUGCUCCCCGGUUGGCAACAUUACCAAGUCCUAUUGAUCAUCACUGUGGUCAUUAAGGUGUUUACCGUCAUCACCUUCAUCAUCACUGCCACCUCAAAGCCCCUGCGCAGUCCCUCGAGCUGGGCCCUCUGCUGGACUGCAGAACAGUCCUGUUCACUGGUCUUCUUUUGCUCGGCUCUUUUAGACGGGGGUUCACCAGCCUGAGGGAAAGACACACCCCCACUGGGAAGGGCAGACACUUCGGCCUCCAUCCCCACUGCAGAGCUUGGACACAGCUUGCUCCGAUGGAGCACGCAGAGCUGAAGGAUGCUUGCCGGUGACCUGGGCCCACUGGUCGGACCCUCCAGGGACCAGGGAUCCAACAGGUGGGACACAAGUGGGUGCUUUAGGAGAUCAGAGGCUGGGGCACCGUGGUGAGGGGGCUAGGGACAGGGGGGUCCAGUGCAGGCUCAGUGUGUCUGGGGGACUUGGGAGCCCUUUGCGGGACAAGAUUGACAGGAAGGGAGGGACCUCAUGUCCCCUGUCACCUGUGCUCUUCAAACAACAGCCACAUGCUUUAACAUAUCCUUAGUGCAGCCACGCAGGGUUGGCCAGGACGGUAUCAUCGCCCUCCAUUUUACAGAUGAGGUUCCGGGAGGCAUGUGUUCAAGGCCAUGCAGCCAGUCAGGGCUGGGCAGCAUUUGAACACAGGUCAUUCUGGCUCCUAAGCCUGGGUUGGCGGAUCAGGCUCCAAAGAUGGAGUGGGGUAGUGACAAUGAUUUGAGGAAGGUGGCUUCAUUCUUGCAUUGCUGAGACCUUCUGCAGUCCCAGGGCUUUUGGGGACCACAGCAAAGGCGUCUGCUCUGCUUUUAGGAACAAAGGAUACUGGGGAGGGAAGUGUCUCAGCGUGGGCAACCUGGACGGCUUCUGGGGCCAUGGAAGGGGCUGCUGCUACUGGCCUGAAAGUCCUGGAGGGGCAGCCAGUAAGGAGGGGUCAGCCUUGGAGACACAGUGGUUGUAGGGGUGGUGGGCACAGCCUCCCCUCCACCUUCUCCCCGGCCUUGGCAGAACUCUGGAGUCCUCCGUGCCCAGGUCAAGUUCUCUCUCCCCCAAGCGCCUCUCCUCAGCGGGGGGGGGGGGGGGGGGCAGAUGAUGGCCUUUCCUGGAGCCCAAGUCCCUACUCCUGUACCUCGGGGCACUAUUCCCCCUCCUCCUGUCUCCUGGGACCCCUCGCUUCCUUUGCUCUCCAUCCUCAGAAGCCUCAGCAGCCCCUGUUUUUGUCUUUUCACUUCCCAGUUUCCUUUGCUUUCCCCCACCUGGUAGCCCAGCUCCUACGUGUCAUUCCUGAGGGCUUCCUGAGUGGGAGCCCCCCUCCCACUCACCACCUCACAGUAUUUGUUCCUGAGGAGCCGGUGGCUGACUCAGGGCCGGCAAGUAGCCACUCAGACCUUAGCUGGAUGGCCCCAGAGCUGCACCAGAAGGUACGAAUUUUCCUUCUCUCCGCAGGGCAGGUGUGAUUGUGGGGGUGAGUGGGCAUCAAAGUUAGGGCACUUCCUGACCUUGCCUUGCCUCCUGUUUGCCAGAAGAGAGCUUCUCCCUUGCAAAGACCCACCCGACGCUUGUCCCCUGAGUGCCUCUCUCGCCUUUGUAGCCACUGAAGCGUUCAUCCUCUCCCGCUCGGCUGAGGGAGCCCAGGGGGUGGGAGCGAGGAGGGGUGGCUGAAACCCCAGCUGAGCUGUCCAGGGCAGGAGCUGGCUUCCUAGAGCGGGGCUCAUGCUCUGGUGGCUCCAGGUUGCUAGUGACUUCCUUGGCUUUGGCAGAUCCCUUCUGAAGGCACCGUUUCCCGGAGAGCCUGUGGCCAAACCCGCGCCCCCAUCCCAACAAGGCAGCUAGGACAACUUUGGUUCCUUCCUCGCUCCAGUCGCUCGUAACCUCCCAUAGAGGAUGACAGGCUAGGGUGUGGGGCUGCAGGGAAAGUCCUGGGAAGACAGGCAGGAGACUUGGGAUGCAGUUCCACCUCUAUCACUAAGGUGCCCUGUGGCCCCAAGAGCCCACCACAGUGCCUGGUGGGGCGAGUCUUGACAAGCAAGCAUUUGCCAUGACUGAAUGGGGCUUUUUCCAGGCAUGCCCCUGCUCGGAGGUUCAGGGUCCCUGCAAGGGUUGAAUGGGUAAUCUCCCGGGACCCUUCAAAUUCUGAUGGCCGUGACUUGGCCCUCGAUUCCCCGGCGUGCCAGGACCACCAGGACCCCGACUCGAGAGGAAUGCCCUGCUGUUACCGGCCCUUGAGGAAGAGUUCCUGGAACCCAGUCCUGCCAUGAUAGGUCCCGUGUGUGAACAGAGUGAGAAAUAGGGUCUGAAAGAACCAUCCAGGAGUCACAGCAGGAAGAGGCCCCUGGAGUCUCAGCAGAAAUUUCCCGCUGCUUCUAAUGGGCCUCUCCAAAGUUCCCUUGUGAGCUGUGAGCUGCUAGCUGUUGGGAGGUUCCUUCCCUCCUUGAGCACAUGCCUCCCUCCUCCUACCCACCUUCCUUCCCUCUCUGCUCAGACCAGGUCCCCUCCACGGUGGGGUUUGUGACUUGGUCAGGGGAACUUUUAGAACGUAGUUGGGUUUAAAGUUUGCCAGGAGAUGGGGGAGGUGGGGAGGGGCUUGGAUGGGGAAAGGGGGAGCUGGUGGGGGUCACAGCAGGGAGCGAGCCUUCCCCUGGGUUUGGCUGGAUCACAGAAGACGCAGUUCAGGACUCAGAGAUAAAACCUGGCAACUCCUGAGGCCAUCUGGACCGCAACCAUGGGGUCGCGGCUUUGCCUUCCAGCUGAGUUUGCUGAGCAAACGGCAGCGGCUCUGGCAAGCUGGUUUGCAGUGGGGGUGACUGGAGGGGCCGGAGGGGCAGCUGUCACCCCCGUCCGCGGCUCCCUGGCCAACCCUGUGCCCAGUUGGCUCAGGCCAAGCCCUUCUUCCCAGAGGGAAGAACAAGAAAAGGAGUCUUGUCGUAAAUGCUCAGCUUUGCAAACGCACCCACAGGGCCCGAGUUGGGCGAGUUUCAACAGGUUUGGGGAACACUGUCUUGUCAGAUGCUUGCUGAGUUGCUCAAUUGCUAAUCCCAGGCUGAGGGAAGAAAGUCAAGCCAUAGCAGACAGCUGGGUGAUGACUGCCGCCUGAGUAAACCCCUCAGGCAGAGCCUGGUCUUCGGGCUCUGCCACGGAGGGUGAGGGAGAGAAAGGGCUUAGGCAGGAUCUGGGGGGGGGGGGGGCCGGUGCACCCGGGCAGGGGAGCUACGGGGGCCAGAGUAGCAGAUCUGCUGGGUGACAGACAGCCACACUCCCUGACACUCACGUUGGCCCAUCUUAGCAUCACCUGAGACUCAGGGGGUUACAGUGGAGCUUCCCUCCUACUCGAGGUCUCUAAGAUCGGGCACCAUUUGACAAAAACUUACAGCCCUCUGGAGCGAACAAGCCUUUCCCCUUUUCACCCAUCAGAUACUGACUGAGCACCUAAGCACACUUGACAUUCAGGUUUUAUAACCUCGUAGAAGUACAAAGCCACCCUACUGGACUGUAGUUACAUACAGUACGAAACUGUCCUAUAGGCAGGGGGAUAAAAGCCAGGAGAUGGGGACAUGCGAGAGCACGUCAAGCUCAAGUCCUGAUUCUGAUUUGCAGAAUGUCCUUGGGGAAGCAGCUGCACCUCUGGGCCUCUGAAGCGAGAUUGAAAAGAAUACAGACCCCUUGUUCCAAAAGUGGGAAGGGAGAGGUUACACGGUUCUAAUAGGGUCACGGGUGUGAAAGUGCUUCAUAAACCACUGAUUCUCAAUGGGGGGUAAUCUUGUCCCCCAAGGGGACAUUUGGCCAUGAGAAGCCAGGGAUGCUGCUGAACAUCAUACAACGCACAAGACGGGCC